rnacentral:rRNA from 1 species
GAUGAACGCUGGCGGCGUGCUUAACACAUGCCAGUCGAACGGAAAGGCUCCUGCUUGCAGGGGUACUCGAGUGGCGAACGGGUGAGUAACACGUGGGUGAUCUGCCCUGCACUUCGGGAUAAGCCUGGGAAACUGGGUCUAAUACCGGAUAGGACGAUGGUUUGGAUGCCAUUGUGGAAAGUUUUUUCGGUGUGGGAUGAGCUCGCGGCCUAUCAGCUUGUUGGUGGGGUAAUGGCCUACCAAGGCGUCGACGGGUAGCCGGCCUGAGAGGGUGUACGGUCACAUUGGGACUGAGAUACGGCCCAGACUCCUACGGGAGGCAGCAGUGGGGAAUAUUGCACAAUGGGCGCAAGCCUGAUGCAGCGACGCCGCGUGGGGGAUGACGGCCUUCGGGUUGUAAACUCCUUUCGCUAGGGACGAAGCGCAAGUGACGGUACCUGGAGAAGAAGCACCGGCUAACUACGUG